CGACCGGCGCACGGGUGCGUAACGCGUAUGCAACCUACCUUUAACAGGGGGAUAACACUGAGAAAUUGGUACUAAUACCCCAUAAUAUCAUAGAAGGCAUCUUUUAUGGUUGAAAAUUCCGAUGGUUAGAGAUGGGCAUGCGUUGUAUUAGCUAGUUGGUGGGGUAACGGCUCACCAAGCCGACGAUGGAUAGGGGUUCUGAGAGGAAGGUCCCCCACAUUGGUACUGAGACACGGACCAA
rnacentral:rRNA from 1 species